rnacentral:lncRNA from 10 species
GACGGCUCAGAUCACAUCCCGAGAUGUCACCCUGGCCCGGGCCGGUCAGGCCCUUCCACCGCAGGGCUGCCCCAUGGCAGCCAGUGACACCGCUGAGACAACUUUGCCGUGGCCUUACUUUCAUUUCCUUGGUUGUUCAGUUUAUGGCAAAAGACCCUCAGCUGUGUUUUGUUUACUAAUUCCCCUAAGCCUGCCUUAAAUCCAGACUGCCAGGGCCACAGGAAAUCUUUCAGACCCCUGACAGGUACGGGGUGCUGAAAUAAUGAAUUUAUUAACCUUAGAUCAGUGAAAUGAAUGAAAACUAAACCUGCUUAAAGGAAAGCAUUAAGUGUCUUCCUUUGGCUUUGGUAUCAAGGUAAUGCUGGCCUCAUAAGUUGUCUCCCUUUAUCCAUGAGGGACAUCUUCCAAGGCCCCCAGUGGAUGUCUGAAACCGCAGCAUACUUUUGUCCAUAAAGCAAAAUCCGAAGAUUAGUGUUAAGAAACAGGAUUUGGAACUCUCAGAACAAGGCCAUUGGGGGUGGAGAUUUCUUACCUAUGGCUUAAAGAGGCUUCCGAGGUGAUCGGGCAGCAUCAGUCUUCAGCUGCUAAGCCGAGAAGAUCUGGGAAGGAGUCAGUCAGAGAGCCGUGGGCCAGAGUUCCAGGGGCUCUGGGAGUGGCUGCCAGGUAAGUUGAACAGUCUGAUUUUCAGUGGGGUCCUGCACAGAUGGGACACGGCUUAGGAGGAAUCCCGGGCUGUGGGCAUUCCUUGGCCUGGUGGCCAGAUUCCGGCACUUGUAGCAAGCUCCUGGGGGUUCUGGAGGAACACUUGGCAGCUGCAGUUCAGGCAUUUGGAGUUCUUGUGUGCUGGAGAUGUGGCUGGGGUUUGUCUCAGUGCAGGCAAGGAAUUGCAAUUUAGAAAUAUGUUGCUACUUGGCUGCCUCUACUCUAAUAUUGUAUACCUUGAAGGUGAGGUUAAUUAAGUCUUGUUGUGAGGUUUGAGGGCCGGAAUUUAAUUUUUGGAGCUUUAUUUAAUGUUGGGAGCAGAUUCAGUAAUAAAAUAAAAUGUAUAUUGAGAAUAAGACGUCCUUUUGACCUUUUAGGGUCUAGGGCUGUAAAGUGUCUCAGGGUUGCUGCUAAUGGGGCCAUGAACUGGGCUGGGUUUUUUAUAGUUGAUGAAAAAGAGCUUAAACACUAACUGAUUUGGGACAGGUCGGAUAAAUAAAAAGGAGCAUUAACAUUGACUAUGCCUUUAGCUCCAGCCACCUUUUUAAGAGGAAAUUGCUGGGCAGGUGGGGGAGGGCUACUCAUGGAACGAAACUAUAAGACAGACCGGGUGUGAGUAGGGGAGGUGAUAAAAAGAUUAUAGGGUGUAGGAGCGGAGGCUGAGGAAGAAUUGGGACCUAGCUCGGCCUGGCGAGGAGGGGAGAGGUCAGAUGGGUCUGUAGAAAAGGAAGAUUAGAAAGAGUCAGCAACGCUUGGGGUUGGGAGUGAGGGGACAGGCGGGAGGGAAAGAAGGAAGAUUU